GACGAACGCUGGCGGCGUGCUUAACACAUGCAGGUCGAACGGAAAGGCCCUGCUUUUGUGGGGUGCUCGAGUGGCGAACGGGUGAGUAACACGUGAGUAACCUGCCCUUGACUUUGGGAUAACUUCAGGAAACUGGGGCUAAUACCGGAUAGGAGCUCCUGCUGCAUGGUGGGGGUUGGAAAGUUUCGGCGGUUGGGGAUGGACUCGCGGCUUAUCAGCUUGUUGGUGGGGUAGUGGCUUACCAAGGCUUUGACGGGUAGCCGGCCUGAGAGGGUGACCGGCCACAUUGGGACUGAGAUACGGCCCAGACUCCUACGGGAGGCAGCAGUGGGAAAUAUUGCACAAUGGGCGGAAGCCUGAGGCAGCAACGCCGCGUGCGGGAUGACGGCCUACGGGUUGUAAACCGCUUUCGCCUGUGACGAAGCGUGAGUGACGGUAAUGGGUAAAGAAGCACCGGCUAACUACGUG
rnacentral:rRNA from 1 species